rnacentral:piRNA from 1 species
UACUAGGCAACCUGAUGGAGACCUCCAU